CUCUAAGCAAGCAGGGCCGGUCCUGUUGAAACAGGCAUUGGCGCCCCUGCAUGGUGUGGUAAUCCUCUCAGCCAGUCAUCCAAGUCUACAGAAUACCUCCCAGCCAGGAGGAUUCAUUACCUACAGGGCAAGAAGAACCUGGCUGGGUCCCCUGGACAGCAAGUAACCCUUCACCCAGAGCAUCUGUCUGCCGCAAGGCCAAGGCUCAGAGAUGCAGAAUUUUGCCCAAGGUCACCCAGACAGACAAGGGCCGAAGAUAGAAUUCCCACUGCAAUCUGCUUGCUUCUGAGCUGGUUCUCUGUGCCACCUCCUGCCCCUGGAAUGAGGCACCUGUUUUUCCUCUUCAAUGUCUACAUGGGAUGUCUCAGGGAAAGGGCUGUCACGUCCAUGGGUCUAAUGACCACAUAUAUCUAUCUAGUUAUCGGGAAGCAUCGGGUUAAUGAGAAUUUACUUCAAACUCUGAGGAACUAAGGAGAAAUAGCACGCAUCCCAUUCUGUCUCUACCUGAGAGGAACAGAACGGGUCAAGCGGUUCAGAAUGCACGGUCCGGAGAACGGUGUUGGAAUGAUCAGACGAAAAGGCCCCGUCGGAGACACCAGCCCAGCCGACCACUUCCAGCAGCCGCUAAGAACACAGGGGUUCUCUAGGGCCUCGCUUUUGACGGCUCUCUGAGCUGUUUCAGCUCCUCUCUGACUUCUGAUUUGCUAGCAUAAUAACAGGAUUCUUUAUUCGUGAAGGCACGUAACCCUCCCUUAUAGUCGUUAGUAGAUUUUGACCUCUUACAGACAAUAUUUCAUUUCAUAUUUAUGACAUCUACAAUAUGCACAACCAGGCAUAAUUCAUUAAAGAAAUGAGAUAAGCCGGGCGGUGGUGGCGCACACCUUUAAUCCCAGCACUCGGGAGGCAGAGGCAGGUGGAUCUCUGUGAGUUCGAGGCCAGCCUAGGCUACAGAGUGAGUUCCAGGAC